rnacentral:tRNA from 1 species
UCCCUGGAGGUCCAGUGAGUUAGGACACCAAGCUUCCAAAUGGAGGCAUAGGUUCGAUCCCUGGUCAGGGAA